GAUGAACGCUUGCUACAGGCUUAACACAUGCAAGUCGAGGGGCAGCAUGGUCUUAGCUUGCUAAGGCCGAUGGCGACCGGCGCACGGGUGAGUAACACGUAUCCAACCUGCCGUCUACUCUUGGACAGCCUUCUGAAAGGAAGAUUAAUACAAGAUGGCAUCAUGAGUCCGCAUGUUCACAUGAUUAAAGGUAUUCCGGUAGACGAUGGGGAUGCGUUCCAUUAGAUAGUAGGCGGGGUAACGGCCCACCUAGUCUUCGAUGGAUAGGGGUUCUGAGAGGAAGGUCCCCCACAUUGGAACUGAGACACGGUCCAAACUCCUACGGGAGGCAGCAGUGAGGAAUAUUGGUCAAUGGGCGAGAGCCUGAACCAGCCAAGUAGCGUGAAGGAUGACUGCCCUAUGGGUUGUAAACUUCUUUUAUAAAGGAAUAAAGUCGGGUAUGGAUACCCGUUUGCAUGUACUUUAUGAAUAAGGAUCGGCUAACUCCGUGCCAGCAGCCGCGGUAAUACGGAGGAUCCGAGCGUUAUCCGGAUUUAUUGGGUUUAAAGGGAGCGUAGAUGGAUGUUUAAGUCAGUUGUGAAAGUUUGCGGCUCAACCGUAAAAUUGCAGUUGAUACUGGAUAUCUUGAGUGCAGUUGAGGCAGGCGGAAUUCGUGGUGUAGCGGUGAAAUGCUUAGAUAUCACGAAGAACUCCGAUUGCGAAGGCAGCCUGCUAAGCUGCAACUGACAUUGAGGCUCGAAAGUGUGGGUAUCAAACAGGAUUAGAUACCCUGGUAGUCCACACGGUAAACGAUGAAUACUCGCUGUUUGCGAUAUACAGCAAGCGGCCAAGCGAAAGCGUUAAGUAUUCCACCUGGGGAGUACGCCGGCAACGGUGAAACUCAAAGGAAUUGACGGGGGCCCGCACAAGCGGAGGAACAUGUGGUUUAAUUCGAUGAUACGCGAGGAACCUUACCCGGGCUUAAAUUGCGGAUGAAUUACGGUGAAAGCCGUAAGCCGCAAGGCAUCUGUGAAGGUGCUGCAUGGUUGUCGUCAGCUCGUGCCGUGAGGUGUCGGCUUAAGUGCCAUAACGAGCGCAACCCUUGUUGUCAGUUACUAACAGGUUCCGCUGAGGACUCUGACAAGACUGCCAUCGUAAGAUGUGAGGAAGGUGGGGAUGACGUCAAAUCAGCACGGCCCUUACGUCCGGGGCUACACACGUGUUACAAUGGGGGGUACAGAGGGCCGCUACCACGCGAGUGGAUGCCAAUCCCCAAAACCUCUCUCAGUUCGGACUGGAGUCUGCAACCCGACUCCACGAAGCUGGAUUCGCUAGUAAUCGCGCAUCAGCCACGGCGCGGUGAAUACGUUCCCGGGCCUUGUACACACCGCCCGUCAAGCCAUGGGAGCCGGGGGUACCUGAAGUGCGUAACCGCGAGGAGCGCCCUAGGGUAAAACUGGUGACUGGGGCUAAGU
rnacentral:rRNA from 1 species